rnacentral:rRNA from 1 species
UACGAAGGGGGCUAGCGUUGCUCGGAAUCACUGGGCGUAAAGCGCACGUAGGCGGAUUGUUAAGUCAGGGGUGAAAUCCUGGAGCUCAACUCCAGAACUGCCUUUGAUACUGGCGAUCUCGAGUCCGGGAGAGGUGAGUGGAACUGCGAGUGUAGAGGUGAAAUUCGUAGAUAUUCGCAAGAACACCAGUGGCGAAGGCGGCUCACUGGCCCGGUACUGACGCUGAGGUGCGAAAGCGUGGGGAGCAGACAGG